rnacentral:rRNA from 1 species
AUUGAACGCUGGCGGCAUGCUUUACACAUGCAAGUCGAACGGCAGCACGAGCUUCGGCCUGGUGGCGAGUGGCGAACGGGUGAGUAAUAUAUCGGAACGUACCCAGAAGUGGGGGAUAACGUAGCGAAAGUUACGCUAAUACCGCAUACGAUCUAUGGAUGAAAGCAGGGGACCGCAAGGCCUUGUGCUCCUGGAGCGGCCGAUAUCUGAUUAGCUAGUUGGUGAGGUAAAGGCUCACCAAGGCGACGAUCAGUAGCUGGUCUGAGAGGACGACCAGCCACACUGGAACUGAGACACGGUCCAGACUCCUACGGGAGGCAGCAGUGGGGAAUUUUGGACAAUGGGCGCAAGCCUGAUCCAGCAAUGCCGCGUGAGUGAAGAAGGCCUUCGGGUUGUAAAGCUCUUUUGUCAGGGAAGAAACGGUAGAGGCUAAUAUCCUUUGCUAAUGACGGUACCUGAAGAAUAAGCACCGGCUAACUACGUG